UAGAGCUCCAAGGGAAAAGGCAAUCCCCCAGUCUAUAGAUGACAUGCCUAAAUUUGAAGAAAAGAAAGAACAGGUCUGGACGGGUGCCAACAAGUUUGCCGGCCUUGUUGAUGAUGAUAACGAAGGAGAAAGCAUGGAGUAGGAAAUCGGCAUCAAUUUGUUAUUUCUUUCUUUGAGCUUUUUAAAAAUGGAACUUGGCUGUUUUAUUGAUUUUAAUUGUUAUGUAAUGAUUGACAUUACAAACUGAACUUGGCAAUUAAUUUAU